rnacentral:tRNA from 1 species
ACCUGGCUGGCUCAGUUGGUAGAGCGUAUGACUCUUGAUCUCAGGGUUGUGAGUUCAGACCCCACUUUGGGUG